rnacentral:rRNA from 1 species
UACGUAGGGGGCAAGCGUUGUCCGGAAUCAUUGGGCGUAAAGAGCGUGUAGGCGGCCUGGUAAGUCCGCUGUGAAAGUCCAGGGCUCAACCCUGGAAUGCCGGUGGAAACUGUCAGGCUCGAGUCCGGAAGAGGCGAGUGGAAUUCCUGGUGUAGCGGUGAAAUGCGCAGAUAUCAGGAGGAACACCGAUGGCGAAGGCAGCUCGCUGGGACGGUACUGACGCUGAGACGCGAAAGCGUGGGGAGCAAACAGG